UAAAUUAAAUUUGGGAACGAACACAACUCUCUGAAAACCUAGGUUACAGAUCCGAAAGGAAGAAGGGAGAGAGGUUAGGGAAGACUAACAGAUUUCCAUGGAUUCAGCAGCUCGACGAACCGACGGUGGCCUUUUUGAAGGGCUUUACAAAGUGAUUAUGCACUGGAACUCUGUCUACGUGACUUUCGUCAUCGCUGGUGCUUUCCUCGGAGAAAGAAUCUGCCCAUAUAUGUGUUUUGAGGUGUGGACAACUUUGACUCUUGGAAAGCAACCAAGGGCAUGACAUUGCUUGAUGAUGGAGAACGUAGCAGUUAUAACAGCCUGGCUGCCAACAAUAGCUGCUAGCGUGGCAACAACAAACACCGGCCAAAAUACAGAUUCUGCAAUUUAAGCAAGAACAGAAAGCACAAUUAGAGCAACUCAUAUAUUAAAAUGCAAUUCUGGAAGCAAUAUUAAUAAUGCCAGGGAGUACUAACCAGGGAUUGAAUUAUAAAAGCAGUAAUGAAUCUUAUCAGGGUUUUUGGACAA